CAGCAACAUCGCCACCUGUGGGUCUGCCAGAAAUGGAGUGCUCUGACCUGAUAACUGUGGUGUUGUUUCUUGUCGUAUUGUACGUCCUCUGGUAUUCCCACCUUGGCAAGAGGCGCAUCCCCCCAGGCUCCAGACUACCGCCUUCUCCACCGGCGAUACCACUGAUCGGUCACAUCGACUACUACCGGCCGCAUUUCUGUGCGACGAAGGCAAUCGAAUGGGCUCGAAUGUAUGGUCAUACUUACAGAGUCAGAACGGGACUGACGGAGAUG